CUCUUCCCAUUCCGAACAGAGAAGUUAAGCUCACUUACGCCGAUGGUACUGCGGUUUUCCCGUGGGAGAGUAGGUAGCCGCCUCUU
rnacentral:rRNA from 1 species